UACGUAGGGUGCAAGCGUUAAUCGGAAUUACUGGGCGUAAAGCGUGCGCAGGCGGUUUUGUAAGUCUGUCGUGAAAUCCCCGGGCUCAACCUGGGAAUUGCGAUGGAGACUGCAAGGCUAGAAUCUGGCAGAGGGGGGUAGAAUUCCACGUGUGAGCAGUGAAAUGCGUAGAGAUGUGGAGGAACACCGAUGGCGAAGGCAGCCCCCUGGGUCAAGAUUGACGCUCAUGCACGAAAGCGUGGGGAGC
rnacentral:rRNA from 1 species